CUGGGCUUGAACUGCAGGCAUUAGCUACCUGAAAGGGAUAGUGAUUCUCCUCGGAGAAACCUGUGGAGGUGCUGCAUGGCUGUCGUCAGCUCGUGUCGUGAGAUGUUGGGUUAAGUCCCGCAACGAGCGCAACCCUUGCUCUUAGUUGUCAGCGAGUUAUGUCGGAUACUCUAAGGGGACCGCCGGUGAUGAGCCGGAGGAAGGUGGGGAUGACGUCAAGUCAGCAUGGCCUUUAUGUCCAGGGCUACACACGUGCUACAAUGAGUGGUACAGAGGGAAGCCAAACCGCAAGGUGGAGCAAACCCUCAAAACCAUCCUCAGUUCGGAUUGCAGGCUGCAAUUCGCCUGCAUGAAGUUGGAAUUGCUAGUAAU
rnacentral:rRNA from 1 species